AGUCAAUAGAUACCCGGGUAGUCCACGCCGUAAACGAUGAGUACUAGGUGUAGGAGGUAUCGACUCCUUCUGUGCCGCAGUUAAACACAAUAAGUACUCCGCCUGGGAAGUACGGUCGCAAGAUUAAAACUCAAAGGAAUUGACGGGGGCCCGCACAAGCAGCGGAGCAUGUGGUUUAAUUCGAAGCAACGCGAAGAACCUUACCUAGACUUGACAUCUCCUGAAUAGCGUAGAGAUACGUGAAGCCCUUCGGGGCAGGAAGACAGGUGGUGCAUGGUUGUCGUCAGCUCGUGUCGUGAGAUGUUGGGUUAAGUCCCGCAACGAGCGCAACCCUUAUCAUUAGUUGCUACCAUUAAGUUGAGCACUCUAGUGAGACUGCCCGGGUUAACCGGGAGGAAGGCGGGGAUGACGUCAAAUCAUCAUGCCCCUUAUGUCUAGGGCUACACACGUGCUACAAUGGUGAGAACAACGAGAUGCAAUACCGCGAGGUGGAGCUAAACUUGAAAACUCAUCCCAGUUCGGAUUGUAGGCUGAAA
rnacentral:rRNA from 1 species